rnacentral:lncRNA from 1 species
AUUUUUCAUAAAAUAGGAAUCAGCAUAUGUGAUAUGAAAAAGCAUGUUUUAUUAUGAGCAUUGAUUUCAUAUGUCUUAUGAAAAUAGCAUGAUUAUGAAGUAUGAAUUUCAUUAUUUUUUCCAUCUAUAUAUGUAUGUUUUAAGAAAAAAAAUAUAAAGAUUUCAAAGGCUUUCAGAUAGCUAUGAACGAAUCUCUUUGGGAAGGUCGACAUCCGAAGCUAGCAUCCACACAAAACAUGGCCCUGCC